CAUUAUACCGCGAAACUGCGAAUGGCUCAUUAAAUCAGUUAUCGUUUAUUUGAUAGUGCCUGUCCUACUUGGAUAACCGUGGUAAUUCUAGAGCUAAUACAUGCUAAAAAUCCCGACUUCGGAAGGGAUGCAUUUAUUGGAUACAGAACCAACGCCCUUCGGGGCUUCCUGGUGAAUCACAAUAACUCCGCGGAUCGCACGGCCUUGCGCCGGCGAUGGUUCAUUCAAAUUUCUGCCCUAUCAACUUUCGACGGCUGGGUCUUGGCCAGCCGUGGUGACAACGGGUAACGGAGGGUUAGGGCUUGACCCCGGAGAAGGAGCCUGAGAGACGGCUACUACAUCCAAGGAAGGCAGCAGGCGCGCAAAUUACCCAAUCCCGACUCGGGGAGGUAGUGACAAUAAAUACUGAUCCAGGGCUCUUUUGGGUCUUGGAAUUGGAAUGAGUACAAUUUAAAUCCCUUAACGAGGAACAAUUGGAGGGCAAGUCUGGUGCCAGCAGCCGCGGUAAUUCCAGCUCCAAUAGCGUAUAUUAAAGUUGUUGAGGUUAAAAAGCUCGUAGUUGAACCUUGGCCCUGGCUGGCCGGUCCGCCUCACCGCGAGCACUGGUCCGGCCGGGGCUUUCCCUCUGGGGACCCUCAUGCCCUUCACUGGGUGUGCUGGAGAACCAGGACUUUUACUGUGAACAAAUCAGAUCGCUCAAAGAAGGCUCUCGCUCGAAUGCUUCAGCAUGGAAUAAUAAAAUAGGACGUGCGGUUCUAUUUUGUUGGUUUCUAGGACCGCCGUAAUGAUUAAUAGGGACAGUCGGGGGUGUCAGUAUUCAAUCGUCAGAGGUGAAAUUCUUGGAUCGAUUGAAGACUAACUACUGCGAAAGCAUUCACCAAGGAUGUUUUCAUUAAUCAGGAACGAAAGUUAGGGGAUCGAAGACGAUCAGAUACCGUCGUAGUCUUAACCAUAAACUAUGCCGAUUAGGGAUCGGACGAUGUUAUUUUUUGACUCGUUCGGCACCUUACGAUAAAUCAAAAUGUUG
rnacentral:rRNA from 1 species